rnacentral:tRNA from 1 species
GCUCGGUUGGUCUAGUGGUAUGAUUCUCGCUUAGGGUCACACCCUGAGAUCAAGUUGCGAGAGGUCCCCGGUUCAAACCCGGGAUCGAGCC